rnacentral:misc_RNA from 1 species
CGAAGCAUCACAACUUUGGAGUGGGAGAAUGGCUUUGUUUCUGUUUACAGCAAGGACAAUCCAAACUUGCUUUUCAGCAUGUGUGGGUUUGAAGUUCGAAUACUUCCUAAACUAAGGAUGACUCAGGAAGCAUUCAGCAAUACCAGAGAUGGUGUUUGGAAUUUGCAAAAUGAGCAGACUAAAGAGCGAACAGCUGUUGCUUUCCUACGGGUUGAUGAUGAGCACAUGAAGGUGUUUGAGAAUCGUGUGAGGCAGAUUCUUAUGUCUUCAGGGUCAACUACUUUCACAAAAA